AGGCUAACGAAAACACAGGCUGAGUGUUCUACUAUUUUUGUCACUUAGUCUGCACCUGUGUUAGCCAAGA
rfam:Phytomonas sp. isolate EM1 genomic scaffold, scaffold_11